UUUUUUUUUUUUUUUUUGUAAACGCAUCGCAACGUCAAAGGAUGUAGUCUAAAAUCCUAAAACGCAAAAAUCGAUAUUAUAGGAUGAUUGAAUUUUUUUAAAGUUAGUUAGAGCCUGCCAAAUCCUCUGGAGAGAUUUACUAAUGGUUUAUACUUUAUACGAUCAAAAGAAACAAUAAAUCGGCUUUUGCUUAUUUCACAUGAAAAGAAAGUGUAUUCACUAGAAUGUUAUUUAUAGUAGUUGGGGGGUGUAUCUUUUAAAAAAAAAAAAAAGGAAGCAAUUCGGAUCUUAGGACGUACGGUUUACAGGCGAAAAACCCUAUUCCUUAAAAGGGAUAAUGUCGUAAACCUCUACUGACACAUCUUUGAUAAUUGCAACCACCUAUCCAAAGAUUUGAAAAAUUACAGAAACCUCCCCUACAAAGUAUGUUUUGAUAACAAUUGAUGUUGUAAACGCAAAAAACUAAUGACUAUCCCAUAUUAAUUGCUCUUAUCUAAUUUGUAAAACAAACUUAAAGGUAAAAGAAAUCAAAUAUCACCACCCGUUGGAUAAAAUAUUCAAUGUAGUUCUUGGUAAGAAAAGUUGAGCCAUGUUUUUAAAGUAUCUUUUUGGGUACUCGGACUUUUUUUUGAUAAAGUAAUUUGUGAAGAUAGUCCAUUUAGACAAAUGCAUCACUAUUGGCCGGUUGCAUCUUUGUGAAAUCGAGCAAGAAGUCUAUUUAAAGGAAUUGAAGCUAGAAUAUAAAGCACUAGAUAAGAUGAGAUUAGAGCUUUUGGACAAAGAAGUGUUAACGAAAAAGGGUUUCCUUUUUUCUCUUUUAAAUCUCAUUUUUUGCUUACCAGUUGUAGAGUUUAUGAAGGUUAGUAUGGUUACUUCAUAAUACUAAGGAAGGUAUGUGAAAAUUUUCAAAUCUCAAGAAUAGUGGCUGCAAUAGUAGAAAACUUUAAGGGAGGCUUGUAAAAUUAUCCUUUACUUGAAUCAUAGAAAACGGUGUCAAUUUAGAAAAACUGAAAUCGGCUUGAAAGCAAAUCAAUUUCUAAUAGGGAUUCUCUAGAGUUCUGUUUCAACAUAAUUCAAUUUCUUUCCUGGGACCAAAUAAUAAUCCAAUACUUAAAAUCCAAUCUCAACAUCGACAAGCAUAUAAUAUAUAUGUACUUUAUUAUCUACCAGAACCUCAAACAAUUGGAUGGUUAGCAUCAUGUGGUCUAAAUAAAUUUGGCUUUUCUAAAGUUGAGCAGCCGACCGAAUCGCUGGGAUUAGUUCUCUGCUGGACAGGUGUUUAAAAUAACAAGAUAGUACACUUUCUUUGGAGCAUGACAUGAAUAUGUUUGAGCAGCUGAUUUUACUCCAAUCACCAAGAACCUCCGUAUCGGAGAUUGGCCCGGUUGAUGCAUGAUUGAGUAUUAAAAGAAAAAAGUAAUUCAUAAAAAUCAAUUUUAAUACAACAAAAAGAUUAAGCACAAGAAAUAUUCCUUCUAGAAUCUUCUCCUACGUAUAUAUAAACAAAAACAGAAGUUAAAAAUAGAAGGUUGUCUCUGUCAUGAGUUACUUUGCCAGUAACUUCCAAAGAAGUGGCUUAAAAGAAGAAGAAGAUGAUGAUGAUGAUGAUGAUGAUAUUGAUGAUGAAGAAGAAGAAGAAGAAGAAGAAAUUUCCGCAGAAGCGAAAGAAGAAAUAAAACAAGUCAACGAGUGCACGAGGGGCACACGCUGCAGCAGCACAUCACGUUUGUGAGAAGAGAGUUGAGUAAUCAUAAUUUGUGAUUGAUCAACUCAUAGACGAUCACAAGAGCCAUGACUAAGGAGUGAUCUACUUGAGGUUCCACUACUAGACUCAAUACAUCCUCACCAAAAUUAACUCCUGAAGAUGAUUGCUUUUGUUUUACCUGCAAAAUUAAACGCAACAAAUUGCACCUUAAGUAUAUUUAUGGCCGAUCUUUUCCGGUUGGAGGAGGUGAUAAAUUGCAUGUAUAGCAGCUAUAAUCUAACCUCGGCAACAGCUUUGCCAUUUGUGUCCGUUAUUUUAAAUGCUGAUUUGUCUGGUAAUCCUCGUAUUUGAUAGCUACUUGUCUCAGUUCCAGAAACAACAUAGGUACGCUUGCCUCCUUUGAGAACAUUCCGAAUUUUUCUGACUUGAAAGCUUGGUGUCCUCUUGUUUACUUCGGCAUCACUCCGUCUAUAGCCAUCCCAAUGUCCAAAAACUGGCAUUUUCUGCAAAAACAGACAACCAAACGAACAAUAAUUAUGAGUUUAGUCAUUCAUUGAUUUCUUCAUGCAAAGCUUAAUUAAUUAGCUAUCGAUAUCACUAAUCGAGCAUUUGGUACCUUUUGUCGUAUAGAAAAGAGUACGUUGCCCCCAACGUCCAUGAGAUCAACUUCCCGGCUAUAUUUUUGGCCAUAGUUAUCGAUGCGGUAGACGAGUUUACCGUCGGAAUCAAAAACCGUGCAUCCGUUGCCAUGGAAUACAAGGGAUUUCAUCCAUAAAGUAAAUGAUUCCCUUCUAGAGGUAAUGUAGCAGGAAGAGGAAGAGGAAGAUGAAGAAGAAGAUGGUUGAGGAUAAAGUCGAGCCAUUGAUGAGAACUAUUUGCGGAAGAAAGAAGUUUGUGUUGGUACUGCCUGGUGAGAUAUGAGAAGUAUGAAGUAUAAGUAGUUCCCCGGACACAGGAAAAAGAGUUGAAAAGUGCAUUAAAAUAUUGUGGUAUGCUACUCAUACAGCCCAAUUAAAAUGCCAAAUCAAAGCGUUGAGAUAAACUUUAGUUCAAAUGCAUCUUUCAUUGGCUAAACAUAUAAUAGUUUAGGCAGCAGCAUAAUAUUUGAAUUUUGCUUUAAGUCAUGCCUUAAAUGCCUGCAAUUUUAAUUGAACGUAUUUUUUUUUCAAAAAAAAAAAUUGGUCAAAGGGAGGAUCGGUCCGAUAUGUUAGAGAAAUUCGUCAGAGAUGGCUUACUAGCUAUAUAUUAUUCAAUUUCUUUAUUUCUUAUCUGGAGCUUGGACCAAUAUUACAAUUUUUCUUUCUAUAGAUCUCUUUUGAAAUGGAUCCCAACCUUCCAAGAAAGAAAGCUAAUUUUGUUUAAAUCGGAAUAUAAACUAAACAUUAUUAGCCUGAUAACAAGACUUGAAUCCGAACGCUAUCAGCUCUUGCUUUUUCACUUGGUUAUAUAUGAAGUUGACCAUACUUCAUAUAAUUCCAAUCCCAUGCUCGUUUGGUUUGCUUUUGCCCCAGAAAUUUUGGUAAUUUUUUGGCCUUGAUAUCUCUUUGUACCAAGGACACAUUAAUUAAUGCUUAAAGCUUAAACAAAAAUUAUAGGCAGACAAGCAAACAUGGCUACGUCUUCCUUCCUUUUUUUUUUUUUCUUUUUUUGGUCAAUCGUCAACCCUACUCCUACUUCUACUCUAUCUAGGAGGGAGACCUAACUGGGCUUAUGGAAGGCCGAUGGGGACAGAAUCACCACCGGACCAGAUGGGUGCGUGAUGCACCCGUCUGGAUUUUUUGAAGAACCAUAAAUGUGGCAAAUUGGUGGGAGGCCUUAUCUAUCCGAACCCUUGCCUCCCACCCCACCAAAGCCUUAAAGGCUUGGUGGUGGCCUUAUCUACUUCGUCCUUCCCUUGAUCUACAUGAAUUUUAUAUUUCCAUAAGAAGGCAGACACUACGAGAGUUUACUGUCUGGUUAUUUUUGCUCUAGCAUGGCGGCUCCAAUAUUUAAUUGGGAUAAAUUAGAAACCUUUCCUGAGUAAUUUUACUGAGCUCCCUCAAGAUUUUAAAAAUGACAUGUACCUCCCUUUUCCUUCUAAAAUGACAAUAUUAGCCUUAUCAUUUUAAUAAAACUCCUUUGCUGGGUAUGCAUAUAGAAAGAAUGGGAUUUAUAAUUACUUUUACUUUUUCCUUUUCUCUUCUUAUUACCUUCUUUUAUCUUUUGCAAGUAAAACUAUAUAACAAUAAACUAUAAAUACUGACUCUAGCCACUAUCAUUAUUAGAUGUUGAACUAGCAAAUCUUUUUUUUUUUUUUGGGGACAACUUCGAAGGUGAUUCAAGUAUUUUGUUGAUCUUUUUCUUUUUCUUUGUAUCAAAAGCAUGCAACAUAAUUUAAAAGAAAUUGUCCAAAACUACUACUAAACUAUGAUAGUUCCAACAAAUAAAAAAAUACACAAGUCUAAAGGAAUUAUGACUAUAAAUUCCUCUCCAAUUUAGAAGGAAUAUGUAUCCCAAAUAAAGCACCAUGUACAAUAGCCUCUUAUAGUGAUAUAAUUGCUUAUUAAAUAGUAAGCAUAGGCAUUGAAAACUUGACACUUUUUCUUCAUAUUUGUGCUAUAUAUUUUUCAAUUGUUUUGACAAGUAAGUAUAAUUUUUGAAACAUCAAGGGAGCUCAAAGGAAUUGAUAGAAACCUCAGGGGAGGUUUAUGAGGUUUAUGAAAUUAUCCCGAUUUAAUUUUCUACUCUUUGGUCUGCAUAGAUUUUUUUGUUUAUGAAUUGAACUGCUACAACCUUAUUAUUUACUCAAUAGUCAGUACCCCUAAUACUUAUAAGUAGGAGUUUAGCAAGGACUAGUUACUUAAAUCGAGGUAAAUAGCAUUUUCUUUUGUACUUUAUAAAUUUGAUAUCUACCGUGUGAAUUGAAAAUUAUGCAUAGUUUUUUAAUCUGGGCCUUUGGCUGCUAUUUCCAAGAAUCCUUUGUGAAGCUAUACAACCUCAGUGAACCAACUCCCUCUAGAGUAGUUGACCGCCACAUUAAUUGUAAACCUUUGACCUCCCAUCAAUGUAACUCAAUAUGAGGUUUGUCCUAAAUUCAUACGAGUGUGUGGUACACUCGUCUGAUCUGAUUGUGGUUCAGUUCUCGUCAGGUUCUUUCAGCUCAGUUGGGCCUUCCCAUAGAGUAGAUUCCCCCCUUCCCCGCCCGCCCCCUUAGGAGUAGGAGUAGGAGUAGGUUAGACAUGUGACGUUAUGACCAAAAACAAAAAAAAACUAUACAACCUCACUGAUUCAUUAUACACUCUCCUACGAUUUUUGUACAACUUCAUUUACAAAUACACGUUUGAUGUAUUUCCUUAUCUCCAACAGACUUUCACCGCUAAGUAUUGGUUUCUGCAAUCUUAGCCCUACGUACAUGUCCCGUCUUUGUUUCAAGUUUGCUUGUUUGUGAUUUAUCAAGAGUUUGCCUCACUAAUCCUUAGACUUUGUUUAAGGCCAACUUAAUUAGUUUGCGUUCAAAAUUAACAAGUUAUCCAGCCAUUUAGAAGCAAACUUUUAUGGUGCCCUGGUCGACAGAAUUGGUUCGUGUAUAACCAAGCAAGCCAGCUUGCUUACUCUCCUAGCAGCCCACGUUGGCGGCAAGGAAGGAGGCAAAAACAAUCUCCGACUUGUUACUGCUGAUGAACGUUGCAUAGGUAUUGUAAAUUUGUAAUGCAAUGUUCUUUUAAUAUUUCUUACUAAUUCAUGAAAGCUACAACUUUGUUUACUACUAGUAUACAACGUCAUCAAACUAUCUGUUUUUUUGAAACCAAGGGAAUCUAUAUUAAGAAAUUCAGAAAUUGAGAGAGAGAGAGAUUAACAAAAAACUUUAGAUUAGAUUAAAAAAAACCUUAUAGAUUAGAUUAUUGGCUCGCUAAUAAAUCCAGCAUUGGUAUUGAGAGUCCAAGUUUAUCCAAUACGACUUGGAAUGUGAUGUUAUCUUUUAAGUUAUCUUGCACACGAGGGAGGAGGAUAAGGUGAAAAUGAUCCAAUUCGAUUAGUUUAUUGCAAAGAUGAAAAGGAUCAAGUUAUUGUUAGCAUUUCUCCAUUCCUUUACAAGUUUACAACCUUUUGGCAUCUUUCUUAAGAACUCCCACUACUAAGGAUCCUUCUAGCUCCCUCAAUUUUAUAUGAUAGCUAGCCAAGUCAUUUCUGAUGCAUCCAAAACUCUCUUGAAGGAAGGUUUGGAAAGCAAUUGCUUGUCUAGUGUUUUAUUCCACUCUUAUAUUUCACCAGAGUGAGCUCACUGUAAGAUUGCAACACUAUCAUCCAUCCCUUAUGUACACUUUCGUGUUAUAAACUAAACUUUCACAAAUAACAUAACACUAGCGCACUUGUUAUCUUGACCUAAUUAAGAACACUCAAAAGAAGAACCCUUUCAAUGAGAAUAGCAUUUAAUUAUCUCAAAUGCUAAACAAGAAGCUGAGAUGAAAUCCAGCUUUUGAAAUAUAUAUUGAGGUGCUUAAAAGCUAUUCGAUUUGCAAAGAAUUUAACUCUGAGAAACACCGUACGUGUUAAUUAAACUGAAUUUAUGGGAUACCUUAAAAUCUAAAUGCGCCUUGUCAAAUGUAUUGAACAUCCCAAUUACCUAAUGAGCAGAAAAUAGCAACAAAUAAUAACAAGAAAGACACAUAUAAACUUUCUCUUGCUUGCACAUUUUAGGCAGUCCGCAUCCAAACCUGCGUCAAACAAAUUAAAUAAGCUUUUUAUGUAUUGCUUCAAUUCAAAUGGAGUGGCGGUUUUAUUGCAAAGUACUGUAUGAUUAUUAUAUGUCAACAUAUCAUACUUUUUUAUUAGCUGAUGAGAGCAUCAGCAUUAUUGUGAGGUUAGGAAAUGGGAUUCCAAUCCCAAACUACUGAGUUUUCUUCAUUUGGUGUGCUUACGAUUCCCAUAUCAAAUGUUUACAAACUCACAUCAUAUCAUACAGAAUCAGAGGGUAUGAUACCACAUCAAAAUGAAGCCAUUGACUCCAAAUUUUCCAAAGUUCCGUGCAGAAUAUCCACGAAAAGAAAAGCCCAUAAUUAAUGCGUGUUAUAAUACCCAAAGUAUAGUUGCUUCCCUUAUUGUAUAUUUGUAGCUAAUAAUUUUGUAGAUGCCGAUCAAAUGUGUAUUGAAAACAAAAUGAAAUGGAAAAUCAUGUUCAACCAAACGGAUCCUCCAUUCAAAAAUGAAGUGCCUUACUUUCUGAUGCGCUUAUAAUUGAAGGAAUCAUCGCUCCCCAACAACUUCCGUAGGCGGAAAGCUCCAGUGGCCCUCCAUAUAUAGUUGUUUGUGCUGGUUGUCGAUGAGUUGCAAAUUUGACAUGCCCAAAAACAUUGUACAAUCACCUUUUUUGUUCUUUGGUUUGAAGAAAAAUGAAGUAGAAGAAAACUUGGUGUUUUUUCUUUUUUCUUUUUACUUUACCGAGAAAAGUUCUGGUGAAGAAACCACUUUGGUAUUUGGUUAUUAAUUUGUGGGCCUACAGCAUUAGAGUUCAUAGAACUGUACACGAAUUAAUAUUCACUAGACACUAACAAUUUCUCAGACCAUACGAAAUUCGCUGCAUAAUUUGACAACUUAGGAGCGAUCAACUAAACAAAAGUUUUUUUUUUAUCCUUUUAAUUCUAAGCAAGAGAAAGCUGAGAUUCGAGAAGGGAAAAGGAGAAUUUGAAUGUAGAUUUUAUGAUUCUUAAGGUUUCAACUUUAGUCUAGAUCAAAUUCCCUUCGGCCAACUGAACAAAGGGUUCAAGUGAUGACUAUUCCCUUGUCCAUCACUUCUUUGAAUUAGUUCUUCCGAUUGACCAAUUCUAGUUUCUAGAUGGAUGGAGUUUCUUUUUUCAGAAUUGGCCCCAACAUCUUGACUACUUAAGAAAUCACUCUACAAUAAGUUAUUUUACCAGCAUGGACAUGACAGGGCAGUGUUACUAAAGUUGUGGGGGAUCAGCUCAACUUGGGAAAAGAACAAAACCUGCUAGCUCAUCUCAAAUUAUCUUAACAUAAAACCCAAAAAAAAAAAAAAAAUUGAAACUCCACUCAUUUCACGAUUCGAAAGUAUAAUCGGGACAAAAAAAUCGAGGUCACGAAUGCCGAAAUUUUCAUUGACCUGUAGCCAUAAGCCGCCUCAUGCAUGCACUAAAAUUGAAAAGAAGAAAAGCAACGUGUCUGAAUUCUCGUUGAAAAAUCAAAGGAAAUGGUUUCUCACAAAACAACUGAUAUCAUAUGUACAGCAAGCUCUGAGGUUUCUCCUUUUUUUGCGCUUUUUGGUGGUGCAAAGUAUGUACAAGUAUGAAUAAUGUUUGAUCUCAUUUUUUU
rnacentral:lncRNA from 1 species